rnacentral:rRNA from 1 species
GAUUGAACGCUGGCGGAAUGCUUUACACAUGCAAGUCGAGCGGCAGCGCGGGGGCAACCUGGCGGCGAGCGGCGAACGGGUGAGUAAUACAUCGGAACAUGUCCAUUUGUGGGGGAUAGCCCGGCGAAAGCCGGAUUAAUACCGCAUACGCCCGAGAGGGGAAAGCGGGGGACUCGCAAGGGCCUCGCGCGAAUGGGUUGGCCGAUGUCCGAUUAGCUAGUUGGCGGGGUAAAGGCCCACCAAGGCGAUGAUCGGUAGCUGGUCUGAGAGGAUGAUCAGCCACACUGGGACUGAGACACGGCCCAGACUCCUACGGGA